UUCGAUACAAGAUUUAGCUAUAAUGUGUAAAAUAAGUUACGAGUUUGCUAUGAGAAUUGUGGAAAUGAUAGUUAAAUUUUCUCAUUUGAGCUAAAUUUGUGUGAAUUUAGGAGGGAGGUUGGUGUAUCAGAGCACCAAGAAGAGGGCCAGUGGACCCAAAUGUCCUGUUACUGGAAAGAGAAUCCAAGGGAACCUUUGUGAAUUAUAUAGGCCAUGGGUUGCAUGAGUUCUAAAAGGGUAAUCUAUGUGACCCCACGUCCAACUCAAAGCUAUGGUGGUCAACCUCUAGAGCCAGAAAGAAAGUUUGAGAACAUAGACGAGGUAACAUAAUUUUUUAAACUUAUUUUAGUAAUAAUAAAAGGGCAAGAUGAUUGCCAAUAAUGUGGAAAUCAGAACAUUAAGUGUACUAUAUUGCAAUGUGUAGAGCUUUCUUGCAGUAGGAGGCAUCUUUUGAAGGAUCUGCUUUAAUUUCUAGAAAAUUAAUGCCAUUUUAAUCUUUGUGCUGGUUGUGAUGUCUGAAUCGUGCUACUCAUUAUUCUGCAUGGAACCUAGAUAUUAGUGUUUUCAUUGAUAUAAUGAUUUUUGCAUUUUGAGUUUGAUCUCAUAAGUAUUGAGGUUGGAAAGCAUUGGUUAUGGAACUCCUGGUAUUAGUAAUGUUAUGGAACUUACUAGAGAUUGUAUGGUUAUGGAACUUCUGAUCUCAUAAGCAUGUUUUCAUUGAUAUAAUGUUAUAAAUUAUCCUGUGGUCUUGCAAAGAUGUGCAUACGUAUGUUUUUUUAUGCUUCACAUGAUUGAUGAAUACUCUCUCUCUUUUGACUUGAUGAUGCAUGCUCUAAUCAGUUAUAUGUGACAUUUUUCUAUGGCAACGAUAUUUAUACUACACUUUAAGCUUACCACACUCCUUUGUUUGUGCUUUGCCUCUCACAAGUGGAGUGUGAGGCUAAAAGUGUUGUGUGAAUAUCAUUAUUUUUCUAUUGUUUCUCUUACAAUCUCAAAGUAGAUGAGCAUAUUUAUCUUGAAUAUGAAUGCAGAGAAUGUACCCACCUCACAGGACAAAGUCUAAUGGUACUAGUGAUCAAAAGUCUAAUGGUUCAUGGGACAAAGUUUAAUUUUUAAAUGAUAAUAAAACAAAGAACUUGUGAUCAAAAGUCACAACCAAAACUGGAGCCUAAUAAUUCAGAAAAGAGGGAUGCAUAUGUGAUGACUUUUAAACAGAAAAAUAAAUAAAUAAAAUAGAAGAAUUAAAAUGAUAACAUGAUAACAUUAUAACUAUUAAAUUACACACAAAAAAGCACAAGCACACACAUCAGGUAAAUGAAAAAU